rnacentral:rRNA from 1 species
AUUGAACGCUGGCGGCAGGCCUAACACAUGCAAGUCGAGCGGAAACGGCAGUAUUGAAGCUUCGGUGGANNNACUGGACGUCGAGCGGCGGACGGGUGAGUAACGGCUGGGAACCUGCCCUGACGAGGGGGAUAACCGUUGGAAACGACGGCUAAUACCGCAUAAUGUCUACGGACCAAAGGUGGCCUCUACAUGUAAGCUAUCGCGUUGGGAUGGGCCCAGUUAGGAUUAGCUAGUUGGUAAGGUGACGGCUUACCAAGGCGACGAUCCUUAGCUGGUUUGAGAGGAUGAUCAGCCACACUGGGACUGAGACACGGCCCAGACUCCUACGGGAGGCAGCAGUGGGGAAUAUUGCACAAUGGGGGAGACCCUGAUGCAGCCAUGCCGCGUGUGUGAAGAAGGCCUUCGGGUUGUAAAGCACUUUCAGCAGUGAGGAAGGUAGUGUACUUAAUACGUGCAUUGCUUGACGUUAGCUGCAGAAGAAGCACCGGCUAACUCCGUGCCAGCAGCCGCGGUAAUACGGAGGGUGCGAGCGUUAAUCGGAAUUACUGGGCGUAAAGCGCAUGCAGGCGGUUUGUUAAGUCAGAUGUGAAAGCCCGGGGCUCAACCUCGGAACCGCAUUUGAAACUGGCAGGCUAGAGUCUUGUAGAGGGGGGUAGAAUUUCAGGUGUAGCGGUGAAAUGCGUAGAGAUCUGAAGGAAUACCAGUGGCGAAGGCGGCCCCCUGGACAAAGACUGACGCUCAGAUGCGAAAGCGUGGGUAGCAAACAGG